AAAGUUCCCUUCGGGGGACAAGUAGAGUGGCGCACGGGUGAGUAACACGUAGGUAAUCUACCUUUGGAUUGGGAAUAACAACCGGAAACGGUUGCUAAUACCGAAUAAUGCAGCGGCACCUAAUGGUGACAGUUGUUAAAGCGGGGGAUCGCAAGACCUCGCGUCUGAAGAGGAGCCUGCGGCGGAUUAGCUAGUUGGUAAGGUAACGGCUUACCAAGGCGAUGAUCCGUAGCCGGCCUGAGAGGGCGGUCGGCCACACUGACACUGACAUACGGGUCAGACUCCUACGGGAGGCAGCAGUCGGGAAUUUUGGGCAAUGGGCGAAAGCCUGACCCAGCAACGCCGCGUGAAGGAUGAAAUCCCUCGGGAUGUAAACUUCGCAAGAACGGGAAGAAUAAGUAGGGGACAAUACCCCCUAUGAUGACGGUACUGUUUGUAAGCUCCGGCUAACUCCGUGCCAGCAGCCGCGGUAAUACGGGGGGAGCAAGCGUUGUUCGGAUUUACUGGGCGUAAAGGGCGCGUAGGCGGCCACCGCAAGUCGACUGUGAAAUCUCCGGGCUUAACUCGGAAAGGUCAGCCGAUACUGCGGGGCUAGAGUGCAGAAGGGGCAACUGGAAUUCUCGGUGUAGCGGUGAAAUGCGUAGAUAUCGAGAGGAACACCUGCGGCGAAGGCGGGUUGCUGGGCUGACACUGACGCUGAAGUGCGAAAGCUAGGGGAGCGAACGGGAUUAGAUACCCCGGUAGUCCUAGCCUUAAACGAUGAAUGCUUGGUGUCUGGGGUUCUAUAGUCCCCGGGUGCCGUCGCUAACGCUUUAAGCAUUCCGCCUGGGGAGUACGGUCGCAAGACUG
rnacentral:rRNA from 1 species